rnacentral:misc_RNA from 1 species
UUUCCGUAGGUGAACCCGCGGAAGGAUCAUUAAUGAGUUGUCAUGGGGUUCGAUGCUGGCAGCCAGUUUUUGGAUGCAUGUGCUUGCCCUAACAAUCAUCUUCUUCCAAACACCUGUGCACAUUUUUGAGGGAGUCUUGAGUUGGUUGCCGCUCUUGGGUGAUUUUCUCACAUUCCCUUAAAUCAUUAUACGCUAUUAACAAUGUUGAACGUGCUCUGUGCCGCAAGGCCAUUAAUAUAAUACAACUUUUAACAACGGAUCUCUUGGCUCUC